rnacentral:rRNA from 1 species
UACGGAGGAUGCGAGCGUUAUCCGGAUUUAUUGGGUUUAAAGGGUGCGUAGGCGGCGCGUCAAGUCAGCGGUGAAAUCCCCGUGCUCAACAUGGGACCUGCCGUUGAUACUGGCGUGCUGGAGUACGGUUGCCGUGGGAGGAAUGUGUGGUGUAGCGGUGAAAUGCUUAGAUAUCACACAGAACACCGAUUGCGAAGGCAUCUCACGAAGCCGGUACUGACGCUGAGGCACGAAAGCGUGGGGAUCAAAC